rnacentral:rRNA from 1 species
GACGAACGCUGGCGGCGUGCCUAACACAUGCAAGUCGAACGGGACCGGGGGCAACUCCGGUUCAGUGGCGGACGGGUGCGUAACACGUGAGGAACAUGGCUUUCGGCGGGGGAGUAGCCAGCCCAACGGCCGGGUAAUACCGCGUACGACCCAAUGGAGACCUCUCCGCUGGGUGAAAGCAGCAAUGCACCGAAAGAGUGCCUCGCGGCCUAUCAGCUAGUUGGUGGGGUAAUGGCCCACCAAGGCGACGACGGGUAGCUGGUCUGAGAGGAUGGCCAGCCACAUUGGGACUGAGAUACGGCCCAGACUCCUACGGGAGGCAGCAGUGGGGAAUAUUGGACAAUGGGCGCAAGCCUGAUCCAGCCAUGCCGCGUGGGUGAAGAAGGCCCUAGGGUUNUAAACCCC